rnacentral:lncRNA from 1 species
GAUGGUGUUAAUGACACUGAAGAGGCUCUUUUCAACAUCUCCAUUCCUGGUACACCCAGUUGUGCACCUGCAUAUCAAGAAUAUUACACAACAAUUCCAAAGGCGCUUCCAACUUGCAGCCACAAUGCAUAGAUGUCGACAGGAGAGGUAUCAGAACAACCACUCCUUUUUGUUGUUAGAGGUAUGGAGAUCUGCACAUCAAUUCAGCAUUAACAAACUGAUUUUGUCUGUAACGGAGACAGCUGAGCAGAGCUGAGCGCUCUGCUUGUGGAGGUGGCAGCCUUUCCACUGCUGCUGGAAACAGUGUCCAGAGGGAGGCUGACGUGACGAGGUGAGAUUGCUGCAUAUGGGUUUAGGGCUGGUAGGUGAAGCUGUCCUUGACGUCCUGGAGAGGGGUUACUUGGAGCUCAUCAGGAAGUUUUCAUGCGAUUGGCACAGCAAAACGGAAGGGAGUGGAGAAUACUGUAUGAUAUUAAAUUGAAGCGGUUAAUCGUAGUUGUUAUUAAUUACUGUGAGGGUUAUAGGAAGUGAAAGAGUGUGUCCAGGGCAUCCCUCAGUACUGCUCUCCCACACCGGAGUGCAAGAAGCUGAGUUCUUAGCACUGGCGUGCCGUUGCUUCACAGUACCAGCACAAAGGGUUGGCGGUAUGUGUCAGCCUGCACGUCUUUGAAGGUGCUGGGAAUGAUUACACAGCCAGGGAGAAGAACUUGCCAGUGAUCGCGAGAGACACCGAGCAGUCCUCUCCAGACAUUCGUUGUCGAUCCUUUGUCAUACUUGCUCAGAAUUGGACGGCUUCGGAGAUUCUUCCAGAUGAUAACGCUAUAACCGAUUUGAGGAACCUUCGCACCUUUCCAGCUUCCCCUCACGUCCCUUCGCUCUCGUUUCGGGGGAGAAGUGCCCCUCUGUACUCUCCCAGGAGAAUAGCUCCGCAGCCACGGAAGCUCCUGGGCUCUUCCUAUAGCUCCUUUUUUACUCCGUUUUCUGGGCUGAGGGAGGCCGCCCUCAGCUGACGGGGGUCAACCUCCCGCCGCCGAAGGAGCCUCCCCGACGGCACAGAGCAGCCCCGGGCGGGCGCCGCGCUCCUCGCGUCCCCCGAGCUCUGGUUUUCUUCUUCCUGAAGCGCUGUGUACACAAAGGGCUCGCUUCUGCCUUUCAAUUAGGUGGCUGAGGAGCGCUACCGGAGGAGCCCGGGAUCCCCGAGGUGCAUCAGUCCCGAAAUAAGGGAGAGCAGCAGCAUCGCUCCCGGCCACCAAAGGUACACUCGUUUCGGUCAAUAGCAUUUUUUUCCCCCACUUCCCCUCGGUGUUUGCUAAAGGGCGCGGAGCUGCGUGCGAGUCCCACAGCCGGAGGAGAAAGGAAACGCGAAGAGCUUCUUCCAGCGGACGCUGCUCCCCUUCCCCUCCAUCCUGCGGGGUGAGGAACGGAGGGGCUCGGAGAGCGGCGGGGGGGAGGGUGGGAGGAAUCGCUAUUUUCCUUGAAGAACAAUUCAGGACAAUUAUUAUUAAUGCACGCAGCCGGCACCUGCGCGGCUCUCUGCCCGCUUCCCGAAUGGUACUUUUACUGCCCGUAAGCGGCGAACCAGGGCCGGUAAUAGGAUCAGGAAGGGAGGCGUUAGGCGGAAUGCCGCUGCGGCACUACUCGUAAAGGCGCGCUCCCGACAAACGCCUUCGGCCGAGAGGCUGUAAACGUUUUACGGGUAAUGAGAAAGGCAAGGGUUUGGCACGAAGGGGCGGGAAGGGUCGCACCACCUUUUGCUGGACGGGGCCGUGCUCGUUGCUGAAUGCUGGCGUGGGGGCUUCGGCCCGCCGAACGACCACGGAAAGCAAACCAGUAACUUUUACAGAGGAAAGUAAAAUAUUUCAAGUCAAGAACUCCUCUAGUAGCUGAAAAUUAACCUCUGACAACACGCGAGAUUUUCCCUCCCCGCCAUAUCAAAGAAACGUCUGUACGUUAAUUUCACCCUGAAAGAUUUGAGAAAUAACAGCGCCUCAGGGCAAAUUUUCAGCUUCAGAAGGACCCUUUGAGUCGAAGUAGGCGCAGAGAGUACGCCCAAAGCCGCGCAAUACAGCCUCAUUGAUUUUGCUGCGGUGUUCGCACGCCCGGGGAGUACAGAAGCGCAGAUCCCUGAGUUCUUCUGACGAGAUUUUAAUUAGGAAAUGGAAUUCCCCGCUCUGGAGCUGUGCCUUCGUGUAGAUGAGGCAUGACGGCUGGGAGCUUUGCCGAGGGGUGGGUUGGGGUCACGGUGACGAGAGGAGCGGAGCCAGGGCCGCCCCAAACGGCGGCUCUCUUCCUUCCGUCCUCCGUUCUUCUUUCCUUCCUUUUUUUUUUUUUUUCUUUCUCCCUUCGGUAUGCUGCUGAGAACCGACCCCGUGAAUUUCCCGAAGUGGGCCCCUUGGCGUUAUCACCGCUUAAUUCGAACGUUCCUUCCAAGAGGAAAGCAGCAGAGAGGCAAGGUGCUUGCCGCUAGCUCAGCCUGUGCGUUGUUGCCGUGGAUACGGUUCUAAAGCGGUUCGAUUUUAUCGAUGCAAAAGAAAACGUUGAAAAUUGAGGUAAGGAUUGGAUUAGCUCCGUGUCUGCCACCGCGGUGCAGUGUGCGCUGCGCGACGCGUACGAGCGGAGCUACCGCUUGCUCAGAGCUGACCUUGAGAAAGGGAAGAGCGUGACGAGGCGGGCACCGCUCCGUCGGGCUACAGCGCAUCUGUUAUCUUUAAAUGUUUGAAUCCCUUCGUCAAGAUUAUGGCGUUAUUCCAAGUGGUAAAACGCGGCUAUUUCGCUUCUCACUGCCGCAAGAAAAUAGAAACCUCCACUUUCCCCACUCUAGAAAGCAUUUUAAACCCAAAGCAUCAGAGUGUUUUUGCUUUUUAUUUUGCUUUCCCGAUUCAUAGCUGAGACGUUACAAACGAUUACGGGUUGGAAAACCUAUCGGAAACAGUGUGGUCACGUUAUGACAAAGCGCUAAUCUGACGCUUGCAAAACGGUGACAGUUGUAACGUUGUUUUUUUUUUCCUUCUCUCUCCCUUCUCCCCCUUUUGUUUCCUUUCCUUUAAAGACAAACAUUUCGAAAAAUAAAAUAAAUAUUAAUAAUAAUCCCAAACGCUCCCGCGGUGACAGUUAGUCCCCUCUCCCCAGUGCAAGGAGUCAGGCCGGGCAAUUGGAAGCUCAUGUAAUUAUUUUCAUUCUAAUCGCUUUAAUCCCCCCCCUCCCCCCCGCCGAGAGCAAAUGACGCUAAUGGGACCCACGUGGAGGAGCCCCGGGGUGGCGGCGCGGCUCCUCCCGGCCCCGUGCCCGGGCAGGUGGAGCCGGCGGGGCGGGGCUCGCCUCGGUCGGAGGCUUUACAAUAAAUAAAAUACUGCCAUACGUUGUCGGUUGUUGUUAUUACUGAUCUUCUCUCCCACCCCCGCCGCCGCCGCCCGCUGUCUGCUCUGGGCUGGUUCCGUUUGCUGCGGAGGAGGAAUGGAAAACCUCCCCACCGAUGAAGCUCGGGAUCGGUGCCGGUGAUGCGGCCUCGGAGCCGCAGGAACGCGGCAGCAGCGCUUCUCUCCGUGCCCUCGGGUGUUGGCGUCCGUGUUCGCGUACAGUACCUGCCCGCUGUUAUAAACAUCCCUCAGUACACAGCCAAUCAAUCACGCUGGCAAGCAAGCAGAUCGGGAGCCGAGAGUAUAUACAAGGCAUAAAUACAGAGACGUGAAACCCCAGUCAGCGCUGCAGUAUUUACACAUAAUUUUUCUAAGGCGCUCUCUCUAAGAGAAACCAUAUCCAGGCUAUCGGAAGUUAUGAAUUCAAGAUUAAAAAGUAGCAGAUAGUGUUAAGGAAGUAUAGUCAUUCUAAUGCUAGCGAGGGAGAUGUAAGGAAGAAAAGGAGAAAAAAAAAUGCCUGAAGCUGAAGACUUAAAAAAAAAAAUCCUAUUACACUUACAGCCGGGAACACAAACUGGAGACUGUGCAGCUGAAAAACACAAAACCGGUCAUUUAAAAAUACGAUGCGAUAGAUAUAUCUGGAAAAGACAUGAGUUUACCAGAUUUUCCAGUCAGCAGAGCUUUCUUUAUGUUGCAGUCAUUUCUAGUUCUGCUUUAAUUUGAAACAUAUUUACAUCCAGGGAUAAGUCCUUGCAACUGCGCUGUGUUUUUUCAACAAUCUCUUGAUAACAAGAGGUCUGCACAGCAGGGAGUCUGUGCCUCUUGAUGUGACACUGAGGCUUUGCUGGUGGAAGGACGUGUGUGAACACGGGUGGAAUCCCUACAGUGAGGUGCGCUGCAGAUCCAGGGCAUCCCAGUAAUGCGUAGAGAAGGGUGGUGUAUCAAAGCAGGGCAAAAUGAAGUUUCAGGACUUAAAAGAGAAAGGCGUAUAUUAUGUUGUGGUAAUUUAGGAGUUUCAGUGAAAUGGAGAAAUGGUUGGUGCUGCAAACUAGCAGGUUUGCUGUUCCUGUGUUGCAGGAUCCUGAACUAUGCCUUCUCUGGAUAGCAGGCAGCAGGUAGGCCCUGGGCUUUGUCCUGGUGGAGGAGAAUGAUCUCAGAGGGCAGGAGCUGUGUUUCAGCAUGAGGUGUCAAGGGCAUGUGCCAAAACAGCUUAUAAAGCUGGGCACCACAGUGUUCUUGCUCAAGAGAGCCCUUGUGACCACAUCCUCUCUAUGGAGUCCAUCUCAGGCAUACUUUUUCUUGUGCAGUAAUUACAUUUGUUGUGCAUGUUUUCCAAUCAAGAAUAAAUUUGAUGCUAAACUCACUUUCACUCUACGAUUGUCAGUGUUAAAUUGUAUAAGGGGCCAAAACCAAACACUACUGAUGUCAGCAGAGCAGUUUUUGAUGAUGCCCUGCAAGCUGGCUGGGUACAGUAGGCAUAAAUAGUAUGGAAAGUUGGUUUUGUUGGCCUCCUAGACACUUAAAAUAAUGUGUUUAAAUAUAUGUAUUGCCAGCACAACAGGGAUUGGAUUAUUCAGCUGCUUACAUUUAAGGUGCCCCCCAUCCUCCCCAUUAAGGACUGUGUUUAAAAUGGAUUGGAUUACUCACUUGCUUAAAGGAUAUUUCAUUUUAUAUAACCAUUUCUACUUGUCACCAUGUAAGUGAGUGCUUCAUCUAUCAGAACCUCAUCCUGCGUACUUGAUGCAUGGUUUUCUGUAGGAAUGGAUUAUGGAGUCCUUUGACAGAAACAUGUCUUGAUCUGUGGUGGAUAACACUGACACAAAAAAAAAAAAGGAUAGAAGCCUUAAAUGACAAUUUGCCACUGAAAUAGUACAUAAAAUAAAUAACAAUGCUUAAAAUAGUUGGUGAAGAGUCUAGAAAUAUUUAGUAACUUUGAUGUAAGUGGUAAUUUUUGUAAGCACCGUAGUCACCACAACACCAGUUCCAUGCUUUAAUCUUCUGGGGUGGUAAUUGUAAGGAGACUUCCAUCUGCUCUCAUCAGUGGAUUAAUUCAGGUUCACGUUAAGUUCACAGUCUUUUUUCACAAAAACUAUUGGCAACUGUAGGAAUGGUAUUUUAAUGCUAUGAGAACAUUGUGAAAGCUCACACUCUUUUCUGUUCUAAAGAUUCACCAUCAUUCACUCCAGUGACAAAUGGUUGUUGAGAAAGAUACAAACAAAGCAAGAUUUUGGAGUUAAUUCUUUAAGCUACACACUGUGUUCUUUGAGUUUGAGAGAGAAGCAACAGUCAGUAGAUGCCAGCAUUGCAAACAAAGUGAAGAGUUUGUCUGGUGACCCAGUACAAGGUUCUUACUUCAGGAAGAACCCUCAGCUCCCUUCAGAAAGCUUGGACAACUGAAAACAUGUUUAUGGCCAAGUUUGGCUUAUUUCUGUGUGCUUUACACUAGCAAAAUUUCUCACAUACAUUUUUUUUUUUUCUGGAAAUGAGGGAACAGUAUUAAAAACCUCAACCAACCAACCAAUUUGGCCUUCUCCAACCUUUGAGCAUAACCUCUGAACUCUGUGAUACGGCUACUGACAAAUCUCUUUAUGGAAGGUCUUCCAAGGACAACGUUAAUUGCCUUCCAAGGUCUUUAAGUGCCAGCCAGAGCAACCUUACAAAGACCACAUCUGUGGCUUUGUCAGCCAUGUUCUCCUGUACAGAUUACAUUUUUUUAUCAGUCUAUAAGCAGACAAGCCCUCCUUGGUGAGAUCAUGUGGUACAGCUGUACCCUCAGAACUGGGGGAGAAAUCAAAAGGGCAUUUUAAUUAUUACUUAAGAAAAUUAGAUUGUGGUUUACAAACAGUAAGAUGCCUUUUUCACUCAGACCAGUGUUCUGCUAUUGCCAGUACAGAUGAAGCUCUUCUCUUUAUUUUACAGGUCUCCUACACAUCAUGGGCAUCAAAUUGUACUAUAUCAUUUUUGUACACAUAUUUGAAAUUUACUAUAUCUCUUCUCUCUGAGGUUAAAUGAUUUUUUACUAAAAUUACUUGUACUAAAUAACAGCCUACUUCUGGUAAGCAUAAACGUUCCAGUUUUGUUUCUCUUUGUGGACAGUAGACUACCCAAAAAGAUUUGAGGAUGCUGGUACAGAGCAAUUGAUAAUGUAGGGACAUUCAUCAGCUCAGACAGUGUGCUAAGCUGUGAUGUGGGUCUGUCCGGAGGUGAGGCAUUAAAGACACUCUUAAGCUCUUGCUUCUUCUGAACUGUACUGACAGUCUGGCUCUACUUCUCAUUUGCUUUUUACAGUGGUGGGGUCAGAAUUUUACUAGGGUGUAUCUUGUUAAAUGCACUGUAAGGAUAAUGUAGAUAAGCCUCCUCAAGUACUGUAUUUCAGUGAUCUGUUUAGUCACUAUAGGACCCUAUAUUCUAUAUAAAAUUCUGCUUAGAUCAAGUAUGUAGCGAACAGCUUCCAGAGCAGUGUAGAGACUGUAAACCAGCAUUAGCAGAAUUGACUUGGGGAUGAAUUUGGAAUAGGGAUGAGAGUGAAUUUAUUGACAUAAGGCUGUAUGUUUGGCAACACGGGCUUCUUUUCCUAUGUAUAGAAGGAACAACUGUUUAUACUUGAAAAUAUCAACACUCACUGAGAAUACAUUUUAACUGCUGUUAUUAAGCUAGUGUUAAGAAAUUCCUGAGAACACUUUAAAAAGUAAAAAUAACAAGCUUACACAUGCUAAUCUGUGGAAGGGAAGACUGGGAUACAGAGGAAGCUUAAUUCUGGGCAGCUGUGGAGAGGAGUAGACUUGCUGGAGUGUUGUUAGCUCUGUCAAGAGAGAAGAUGAACUGUGAGCAGGUCUGGGACCAGGUAUUCUCUAGAAACUACUCUUCAAACUUCUUUCUCAGUCUGGACAAAAGCAAAGAAAACCUAGAUUUAUCAUUUAAAGACAAUUUCUUGCUUUAGGCUCUCUGCUUCUCUAAACGUGCCUUUAAGCCCAGGCCAUAAGACUUGAUUUAUAUGAACUUAAUAUUACUACACAAUACUUAUUUAAAGAAUUCUCAAUACGUUUCAGAAUCUUCACUGUUUUAAAUGAAAUCUACUUCAUAUAGAAAGUCCAUCUACUUACUACUUAGAUCUCCAAAUUAGGCCCUUAAGUGCUGUGAUUUUCAGUAUAUAUUAUGCAGUGCAAUGUACACUGGCAACACUUAAUGCCAAGAAAAAGAAAUAAUAUAUUAAUAAAUUCAUAUUAAGAAAAGCUGAAAAGGAAGUUUUAACAAAAGCUG